CGUAGAUCCCUCUACAUAGCUUAAUCCUCACUAUUUCACAUUUUCACACUUAACGAAAAACUCAAAUUCCUUGAUCUUGAAUUCAUGUCAAUUUAACUACAUACCUUCGUGCUCUUUGCUUGAUUUGUUUUAUCAUUUUCAUUAUGUAAGCCCGAAUUAGUUCUAAAUCAAUACUUCCCUCAAUGUCUUAUAACUCUCCUUUCUUUGAUAAUUGAAGGAUAGGUCGAGAUGAACCCGUUAUGGUUAUCCCAACUAAGGGAACAUAACCGUAAUAAAAUGUUCUUUUCCUCAAAACUUGUUGAGACAUUGUCUAACUUAGUCAGCAUAGCCCCAUAAACACUCCAGUACGUCAAGCACAACCUUUACUAAAUCAAUCAUCAUGGGCCCGCCAUCAUCAUGACGAGUUUUACGUAUUCAAUGAGAUUCAAACUUGUGAUAUUCAAGUGAAAAAUUGAACAUUUCACCGCCAAUCACUGUAUUGGUGGUUAAGUGCAUUUCCCUGUACUAUAAAAUGGCCAGCUAAUUAUACAGUCUUCCAGUAUUGGUUCCUGCGAUUCUUUUCGAUGUCUGUACUGGAGAAGAACUAUACCAAGUCAUGAAGUUGUAACUGAUGCCAGAAGUUAUAAGAAGAUAAAAGACAAAACAGAUAACAAGGGACUGAGAGACGAGAGAGAUUGAAAAGAGGAAACAUGGUUUUGGAACUUGAACCUAUGCAGACCAGCUUGUCUAGCUACUCAAAAUUUCUAACAGCCCCACCAAUCAGCUUCAUCUAUUUAUAACUCAGACCACCUCAAUUCCUCAGUGGUCGUGGGAUUUGAGUUUGACACAAUUCUUUCUUCACAACCCACUUGAAUCACACACCUGUCAGUCUGUCUACAAUCCCAGAAUUUCUGAUUCUAGGAGGGCUUUCAGUUGAGUUGGUCUCUGCAAAUUAUUAAGAUGUUUGGUUGGAUCAAAAGCAAACUUCACGGGAAGGAUAACACCAUCAAGCCUGAGCCAGAACAGAUGUCUUAUCAUAUGAUGCAGCAAUUUCCCUGCAAAGAAGAAAUCUCUGGUUGCCCGAGUUCGUUACUAGCCAUUGGUACGUUUGGAAACAAUCUGAAAGGUUCAGAGAAGACCAACGUCGAAGAAAGCUUACCCUCUAGUGAAGAUCAUCAGGAAAACACUAUGGUACAAGAAUUUGGAGAAGUUGAAAAAGAGUUGAGAUUACUGAUUUCUAGGGAAUCAGAAAACUAUAAUCUCCCAACAGAGAGAUUACUGGACAGUUGGCAAGACGAAGAAAUCAUUGUCGAGUCGAUGAACAAUGAUGCAUCAGAAGACAAAGAUGCUCUUCUCCAGAGGACAACCAGUGGAAUCCACUGGAAAGAGAAAGAAAUCCCCAAGAAUAACAAGAAAAACAUGUACAGAAAGUCCCUGUCUUUUCUUCUUAAAAAGGCAGUUUUCUGCAGAGGUGGUUUCGUGCCUAGCCCCACCAUAAGUUCCAUCUUGAAAGAUCCAUUCCCAGAUCCUAAAUUCGAUAACUCAACAAAGGAGAAGAUGUUGAGGGCUGUGCUUAACAAGAAGAAAUAUCCCAAAACACAGCAAUGUUUGAACAUGGCUGAGACUCACCGGACCAAAGAGCAAGAGAAGGCCAGAAAUGAAAAUAAAUGGGACAGAACAGACUCAGAAUAUAUCGUCCUGGAGCUUUGAUUCGUGGAGCGCAGCUGUAUUUCAAGGAAACAUGACUCAAAUGACCUUGAGUAGGUCAAUGUUUAUCUUCUGUUGUCGAUCAAGCAUAAAAUGUAUUACGACAGAGGCCAACGGAGCUAUACAAAGAAUUUAGAUCAGACAGAAUUGAAUUUGUAUUCUAGCAAUGCUUGUCACUGGGAGUGUGCAUAUUUUUGCCAUGGCUUGUUGUGCUAACAGCAUAAUAUAAUCUCAUUUUGCCAUGGUUCGUAUAA